ACAAAAACACAGUUGGUAAAAUAAUAAGGACACACCUUCAAACAGCAAUGUGCAAAUGAAAGGUUUAGAGAGCUAGUUAUCUUUAGGUGUAGCUGAAAAAAAAAAAUACUUUCAAAUAGGUGGUAGGCAACGAGUUAACUGUGACUCUACAAAGCAAUCCUCAUACUACAUUUUAAGGUUGGUGACAGUGUUGUUUUUGGUACUCUUGCUCUUUGGAGCAUGACUUCAGGAUUUGUGGUCAGAAGCACGAGGUGGAGAAGUCCUGAUACAAUCUUUGUACUGUACGGUUGCCGUCUGGACUUCAUUGACUAUCCCGGAGCGAUCCAGCACAAGUGACAAGUGAAGACCUUGGCUGUGUUUCAGAAGCACAAUUACAACUCUUGGGGUAAAGAGCCUCAGCGACAAGGCCCAGGAAAGCAGGUGUAUUGAGAAUUAGAGAGACUCGGAGCGGGCCCCAGAGGAGAGGUAGGGAGUGGUCCUGGCAGCUGUUGGAUGAAGCAGGUUGGAAGGGCCUUGAGAGCAGAGGUCUGUUGUUUAACAUCAUCUUCGAGUGUACCCUAGCACGGCGGUCUC
rnacentral:lncRNA from 1 species